rnacentral:tRNA from 1 species
GGGUAGAUACCGAAGUGGCCAAACGGGGCGGACUGUAAAUCCGCUGUCUCUGACUUCGCAGGUUCGAAUCCUGCUCUGCCCACCA